rnacentral:lncRNA from 1 species
GAAGCUGUGGCUGUGCAGGGGCUGUCUCUGAACAAUUCCAGGGUGGCCUCGUUUUUGUCGGACCUUUUGGAUUAGAGAUACUCAAUAAAAACAUCUGUAAACUGUUAUGAGAUUUCCAUUCUUCCCCUAGUUAGAGAUGACAUUGCUUACUCUACGGCACUACUGGGGCUCAUUUAAUCUAGCAGCCAUUUCAACAAGCACUUCAUAAACGACAAUUAUUGAAUUAAUUGUGAUAUUUCCAGUCCAGUAUUCGUUUAUGUUAUUCCCUCCACCUGUAAACUCCUCUCCCAGUUGCCUUGUAGAAGUAAAACAGAAUAAUUUCACAGCUUAUAAAAUAUGUGUUCUUUUGUUAUUAUGAAAUCUAUGACAGAAACUCCACUGACAAAGAGCAGAACAUUCGGGGGUCACUUUGCCCUGCUUUGGGACAUUAAACCCUGUCAGUUUAGCAGGACAUGAGUUUAUUCCGAUUCCACGUCUUCCUUUCAGCUGUCUAUCUUGAAAAAGCUACUUCAUAUACUAGGCAACACAGACUUAAACUUUUUCCAAAUGUGUCCUUGAGAGUUAUUUUUAACCUCAAAAUGAAAAACGGCUAUGCUGAAGCCUGAACAUAUUUAUAAUAGGAGAAAAAUGUUUCAUGUCUUGAAAUCCUCAUUGCUUGAAUUUUUUUUAGAAUGAAAAAUUUGUUUUAUUUUUAAUCUUGCAUUGGAUGUAUUAUUUCCCCAAACUUUAUAAGGAAGAGCAAGCCGUCUUCAUUUCUAUAGUUUAUAAUUAAGAAAUUCCCUAAAAUGUGAACUUCAUGUUAUGAGGGAAGAGAGACAUAGGACCCAGCCUGGCAGGGACUAUAUCUACAUGUAAGCCAUGUGCAGAUCUGUGUGACAGGGUUGUGCCAUGUAGGCAUAGUUAUGGGACUCACUCAAGAAAUUCUACCUGAUUACAAUACAUUUAGGUUUCUCACAAGGCAGAGGACUCUAAGGAAAUACUUUGAUUUCAUUUUAAGCGUUACAUAAUUGAUAGCUUCAUGGAAAGGGAAGUCAGUAAAUGGCUUAGUAAAGGUAAAAGAGCAGGGGCCACCCACAUCUCAGUCAGCAAUGGUUGUCGGUUCUGAGUGGAAUAAGAGUCAGAGGUGUUGGGCUACAGAGGGACACAUUUAAGGAGAUACAGAGUGGAUCCCUAUCUAUGCCUAGUUAGCAGCACAGAAUACCAAUAGAGGCUUCACCUUGUGAAGGUACCACUUUAUAUAUGCAUCAGUGGUGAUUACACCAAUACAUGUGUGCCACAAAGUAAUCCACACAUCUCCAUAUAACUAAGCAAUAAGGAUACAUAGAGUUAACUUAAAGUUUGACAUAGUUCUGUGCAAUGUUACAGAAGAAUAAGAGUGGAGACAUGAAAACAUUAAGAUUGGAGCUAACAGAAAUAAUUCAUGUAACAAUACAUAGUAGAAAUAAAUACAUUUUCAAGAAUAUGUUAAGACAAAAAUUCAAAGGGUACUCUAACAACAUAAACAUGAAAACUGAGUUGGUAUUAAGGCUUUUAAAAAUAUACUCCCAACAUACCAUUUAUACCUCAUGACAUUUUUUUUUUUUACCACCUCACAGCAUCUGAUCCACAGUUCUGAAAUCUCACAGGUAAGAGAGCUGAAUGGUGCUUUUUGGUUUUGGUUUUGGUUUUUAAAAUGUCAUCUGGAGGCAGCAACUC